rnacentral:lncRNA from 1 species
CCCCAGGAAGCAUGAGAGGGUUUCAAGCAGCAAGGGCAUGGAAGUAACUUGGUGAGAUAUUUUUAUGCAUUAGAUCAUCGCUCUAUCUGGAUUCCAGAGGGUCUCUGAGAGAGCAAACAGCUUAAUCCAAAGGAGCGGCUUUCCAACUGGGAAUGUCCCCCUGGCUGGGUGAGAUCUCAAGAUGGCCUGCGGCCCCUCUAGAUUGCCUGCCUACAGAGUUCACUCUAAACAGCCCCUCCCCUCCACACCCCAGCAGAUCCAUUCCUGACGCCCUCACUGGCAGGCUCCAGCCCCACAGAGCUUUCUAGACAUAAAAGAGCAGGGUCAUGGCAUCAUUGGUGACACAAUUUUAGUAAUAAGCUUCAAAACCCAUCACUCCACUGAAUCCAGGGAUGCCAGAAUUGAGAGUCCAUAGGACCCGUUUAACGGAUCCCACAUUCAGUAGACGGUUUUUUGUAUGCUUCGAGGGAAGGAAGGUAUUUUCAAAUGCAACUUCUUUUUUUUUUUUCUUGCUCUAGUUAGGGCUGAUUUUACCACUGGGCAAAUUGCAUACAUUUGGAUCCAUGCCACGCUAAAAACUGUUUAUUUUGGAGAUCUGUCAGAGGCAAGCACAUGGAAGACAAGGGGAUUCUGGUUUGAAAAGGCAAUUCUCAUCCAGACAGAUUCAGAUGGAGAGGAGCGGUGUGGAUUAAAAUGCGCCGAAGUGACAGGGUCUCACCCUGUCACGUAGGCUGGAGUGCAGUGGUGAGAUCACGGCUCACUGCAGCCUCGACUUCAUGGGCUCAAGCGAUUCUCCUGCCUCAGCCUCCUAAGUAGUCGGGAUCAUAGGCACUUGCCACCACAUCCGGCUAAUUUUUUUGUAGAGACAGGAUUUCACCACAUUACACAGGCUGGUUUCAAACUCCGAGGCUCAAGUGAUCUGCCUGCAUCGGCCUCCCAAAGCGCUGAGAUUACAAGCGUGAGCCACUACGCCUUGCCCUCCACACAGCCUUGCUUGGUGUUAAAGAUUAAACAAAGACCACAGGUGAUCACUGUCUUCGUGGUGCCAGUUUCAAGGGCACCCUUCUUCCCUUCCCAGCCUCCGAGAGAAGGAGAGAGGGUCCACAAGCCAGAUCCAUCCCCAUCCACACAGAAACAUGGAAAAAGAGCGAUGCUAUUAAGGAGGAAAAUGGAGCCAGGAGCAAAACCUAAGGCUAUUUCUGAACUAAAGAGGCCUGAAUAAGGUAGUGAAAGGACCAGGGAAAGCCUUCCCACGGGGAUGGAGAGCCACCUCCUCCCCGGCUUUCUGGUUCAGAUGUCUUGUCUCAACAGACGGCAGAUUCGCAGGGAAGCAGGCCGAGCCUGAUCUUUUCUCCGCUAGAACUGCUCAACAGGUGAAGAAUCUUUUUCCAGCACUCCUGAGCCCUUCGGGUCGCGGAACAGUGCGAAGAUUAUUCCAAUGCCUCAUUCGGAGAGGUGAUAAUCUGGUCUGUGGUUUCUUUUUCGGUGGGGCAUGGGGUGGGGGUGAGUGUCAUGCUUUCUAAGGCACAGGGCUGACUAAAGGGUGUCCUAUUUAUAAGUCAGUAAAACACAGCGGCUUCAUACUCUGUGCUUAUUACCCAGAAGCCCCGGCUCUUAGAGUUUCUAUUAAGAUGUACCUCAUAAAUAUAUACGCCUCCUAUGUACCCACAAAAAUUAAAAAUAAAAAAAUUGAAAU